rnacentral:tRNA from 1 species
CCCCUGGUGGUCCAGUGGUUAGGACUCGACACUUCCACUGCAGAAGCCGAGGUUCAAUCCCUGGUCAGGAAA